rnacentral:rRNA from 1 species
ACGGAAGGCAGCAGUGAGGAAUAUUGGUCAAUGGAGGCAACUCUGAACCAGCCAUCUCGCGUGAAGGAAUACGGCCCUACGGGUCUUAAACUUCUUUUAUAGGGGGAUAAAGUGAGGCAUGUAUGCCUUUUUGUAGGUACCCUAUGAAUAAGCAUCGGCUAACUCCGUGCCAGCAGCCGCGGUAAUACGGAGGAUGCGAGCGUUAUCCGGAUUUAUUGGGUUUAAAGGGUGCGUAGGCUGUGCGACAAGUCAGGGGUGAAAGCCCGCCGCCCAACGGUGGAACUGCCUUUGAUACUGUCGCGCUGGAAUACGGAUGCCGUGGGAGGAAUGAGUAGUGUAGCGGUGAAAUGCAUAGAUAUUACUCAGAACACCGAUUGCGAAGGCAUCUCACGAAUCCGUCAUUGACGCUGAGGCACGAAAGCGUGGGGAUCAAACAGGAUUAGAUACCCUGGUA